AGCGAACGCUGGCGGCAGGCCUAAUACAUGCAAGUCGAGCGCCGUAGCAAUACGGAGCGGCAGACGGGAGAGUAACACGUGGGAACGUACCCUUCAGUCCGGAACAACCCAGGGAAACUUGGGCUAAUACCGGAUACGUCCGUAAGGAGAAAGAUUUAUCGCUGAAGGAUCGGCCCGCGUCUGAUUAGCUCGUUGGUGAG
rnacentral:rRNA from 1 species